rnacentral:rRNA from 1 species
CCUACGGGAGGCAGCAGUGAGGAAUAUUGGUCAAUGGCCGCAGGGCUGAACCAGCCAAGUCGCGUGAGGGAUGACGGUCCUAUGGAUUGUAAACCUCUUUUGUCAGGGAGCAAAGGGCGCCACGUGUGGCGCUUUGCGAGUACCUGACGAAAAAGCAUCGGCUAACUCCGUGCCAGCAGCCGCGGUAAUACGGAGGAUGCGAGCGUUAUCCGGAUUUAUUGGGUUUAAAGGGUGCGCAGGCGGAAUGUCAAGUCAGCGGUAAAAUUUCGGGGCUCAACCCCGUCGUGCCGUUGAAACUGGCGUUCUUGAGUGAGCGAGAAGUAGGCGGAAUGCGUGGUGUAGCGGUGAAAUGCAUAGAUAUCACGCAGAACUCCGAUUGCGAAGGCAGCAUACCGGCGCUCAACUGACGCUCAUGCACGAAAGCGUGGGUAUCGAACAGGAUUAGAUACCCUAGUAGUC